rnacentral:rRNA from 1 species
ACGGAAGGCAGCAGUGAGGAAUAUUGGUCAAUGGGCGAGAGCCUGAACCAGCCAAGUCGCGUGAAGGAAGAAGGUUCUAUGGAUUGUAAACUUCUUUUGUUCGAGGGUAAAGUGAGGGAUGCGUCCCUUAUUGCAAGUAUCGAACGAAUAAGCAUCGGCUAACUCCGUGCCAGCAGCCGCGGUAAUACGGAGGAUGCGAGCGUUAUCCGGAUUUAUUGGGUUUAAAGGGUGCGUAGGCGGGAUGUUAAGUCAGCGGUGAAAGCGUGUAGCUCAACUAUACCAAGCCGUUGAAACUGGCGUUCUUGAGUGUAAACGAGGUAGGCGGAAUGUGACGUGUAGCGGUGAAAUGCUUAGAUAUGUCACAGAACCCCGAUUGCGAAGGCAGCUUACCAGCAUACAACUGACGCUGAGGCACGAAAGUGCGGGGAUCAAACAGGAUUAGAUACCCUGGUA